UACGUAGGGUGCGAGCGUUGUCCGGAAUUAUUGGGCGUAAAGAGCUUGUAGGCGGUUUGUCGCGUCUGCUGUGAAAAUCCAGGGCUCAACCCCGGACUUGCAGUGGGUACGGGCAGACUGGAGUGUGGUAGGGGAGACUGGAAUUCCUGGUGUAGCGGUGGAAUGCGCAGAUAUCAGGAGGAACACCGAUGGCGAAGGCAGGUCUCUGGGCCACUACUGACGCUGAGAAGCGAAAGCAUGGGGAGCGAACAGG
rnacentral:rRNA from 1 species